GGAAAAGAAACCAACAGGGGUUGCCCUAGUAACGACGAGUGAAGCGGCAACAGCUCAAAUUUGAAAUCUGGCUCUCGGGCCCGAGUUGUAAUUUGUAGAGGAUGCUUUUGAUGCGGUGCCUUCCGAGUUCCCUGGAACGGGACGCCAUAGAGGGUGAGAGCCCCGUCUGGUUGGAUGCCAAAUCUCUGUAAAGCUCCUUCGACGAGUCGAGUAGUUUGGGAAUGCUGCUCUAAAUGGGAGGUAUAUGUCUUCUAAAGCUAAAUACCGGCCAGAGACCGAUAGCGCACAAGUAGAGUGAUCGAAAGAUGAAAAGCACUUUGAAAAGAGAGUUAAAAAGUACGUGAAAUUGUUGAAAGGGAAGCGUUUAUGACCAGACUUGGGCUUGGAUAAUCAUCUGGGGUUCUCCCCAGUGCACUUUUCCAGUCCAGGCCAGCAUCAGUUUUCGCCGGGGGAUAAAGGCUUCGGGAAUGUGUCUCCCUCCGGGGAGUGUUAUAGCCCGUUGCGUAAUACCCUGGCGGGGACUGAGGUUCGCGCAUCUGCAAGGAUGCUGGCGUAAUGGUCAUCAACGACCCGUCUUGAAACACGGACCAA
rnacentral:rRNA from 1 species